GGCAGCCACAUCAGGAUGGCGGGGAGAAGGCCAGGUAAGAGCGUGAAGUAAGAGCCCCUCACCUCUUUGAAGCCCGAGUCGCGCUCAUCCUUGCACCCGAUCUCUCACAUGGGCCUGGGGCGGAAGCCGAAAGGAAAGCAGUUUCCGUGCCGGUCGAAAAGCAAUUUCGGCUUCCGCCAAUCACGCGUGAUGCGUGAUGUCACUUCCGGUGGCCCGCCCCCGAUGCGUUAGUACCACUAGGGGGCGGGUCUUGGCUUUCCCCGCCCACCUGGUGGCGGGCCUUGGCUUUCCCAGCCCACCCAUGCGCUCUGGACGCGUGGACCUUCCUCCGCCGGGCUUUCCACGUGUCUCUUGUUGACUGAACAGCUGGCUGGGCUGUCGCGUUGUUGGGGAGCCGAUCGCGAGCCUUUUUUGUCCCCUCGGAUCCCAGAUGAAAGGUUCCAGCGUCCGUGUGUGGAUGGUGGCGCCCUACGAGCCCGCCGAUAGCCAGGUCGAGGCUUUCUGAAACGCCCAGUGAAUGGCUGGUUGUGAACAAAGCCAGUGUCCUCCCUUUCACCCCAGACUCCCCCUGGCCAGUAGCCUCUGGAGAGUUCCGCCUCCCCUAAGGCUUUGGAAGUGGCACCAACUUCCGCGCCUCCCAUCGACUUGUCAAGAAAUUUUGAAAAGUUAAUAGCGCUGCACAGGGCAGGAGUUGUAUCUGAGGAUGGAGCCUAGCAGUUGCCUGUAGGAGAUCCGGGGAUCAAUCCCCCACCAUGCCUAGUGGUGUUGUAGCCCCUCUCUCUUUCAAGUCUUCCCAAAAAGCGGGGCGACUGACUGCCAAUCCAGUAAAUCGCAGUUACUACCUAUGCGAGAGGACCCGGG